rnacentral:rRNA from 1 species
AUUGAACGCUGGCGGCAUGCCUAACACAUGCAAGUCGAACGGCAGCACGGCAGUAGCAAUACUGUGGGUGGCGAGUGGCGGACGGGUGAGGAAUACGUCGGAAUCUGCCCAGUCGUGGGGGAUAACUAGCCGAAAGGUUAGCUAAUACCGCAUACGACCGAGAGGUGAGAGCGGGGGACCGCAAGGCCUCGCGCGAUUGGAUGAGCCGACGUCGGAUUAGCUAGUUGGAGGGGUAAAGGCCCACCAAGGCGACGAUCCGUAGCUGGUCUGAGAGGAUGAUCAGCCACACUGGAACUGAGACACGGUCCAGACUCCUACGGGAGGCAGCAGUGGGGAAUAUUGGACAAUGGGCGCAAGCCUGAUCCAGCAAUGCCGCGUGUGUGAAGAAGGCCUCGGUUGUAAGA